rnacentral:rRNA from 1 species
UACAGAGGUCUCGAGCGUUGUUCGGAAUCACUGGGCGUAAAGGGAGUCUAGGCGGUUUGGUAAGUGGGAUGUGAAAUCCCUCGGCUCACCCGAGGACCUGCAUCCCAUACUGCUGAGCUUGAGUACAGGAGAGGGUGGGGGAAUUCCUGGUGUAGCGGUGAAAUGCGUAGAUAUCAGGAGGAACACCGGUGGCGAAGGCGCCCACCUGGCCUGCUACUGACGCUGAAGCUCGAAAGCUAGGGGAGCAAACGGG